UACAGAGGGGCAAGCGUUGUUCGGAAUUACUGGGCGUAAAGGGCGCGUAGGCGGCCUUCUAAGUCGAACGUGAAAUCCCCGGCUCAACCCGGAACUGCGUCCGAGACUGAAGGCUUGAAUCCGGAGAGGGAUGUGGAAUUCCGAGGUGUAGCGGUGAAAUGCGUAGAUAUCUGGAGGAACAUCGGUGGCGAAGGCGGCAUCCUGGACCGGUA
rnacentral:rRNA from 1 species